rnacentral:rRNA from 1 species
UACGUAGGUGGCAAGCGUUGUCCGGAUUUAUUGGGUUUAAAGGGUGCGUAGGUGGUCUAUUAAGUCAGUGCUGAAAUAUCCCGGCUUAACCGGGAGGGUGGCAUUGAUACUGAUGGACUUGAGUAGAGUCGAGGUAGGCGGAAUUGACGGUGUAGCGGUGAAAUGCUUAGAUAUCGUCAAGAACACCUAUAGCGAAGGCAGCUUACUAGGCUCUAACUGACACUGAGGCACGAAAGUGUGGGGAUCAAACAGG